UGUCAGCAGCCGCGGUAAUACGGGGGGUGCAAGCGUUACUCGGAAUCACUGGGCGUAAAGAGCAUGUAGGCGGGUAAAUAAGUUGGAAGUGAAAUCCUAUAGCUUAACUAUAGAACUGCUUCCAAAACUGUUUACCUAGAGUAUGGGAGAGGUAGAUGGAAUUUCUGGUGUAGGGGUAAAAUCCGUAGAGAUCAGAAGGAAUACCGAUUGCGAAGGCGAUCUACUGGAACAUUACUGACGCUCAGAUGCGAAAGCGUGGGGAGCAAACAGGAUUAGAUACCCUGGUAGUCCACGCCCUAAACGAUGUACACUAGUUGUUGCUAUACUAGAUAUGGCAGUAAUGCAGUUAACACUUUAAGUGUACCGCCUGGGGAGUACGGUCGCAAGAUUAAAACUCAAAUGAAUUGACGG
rnacentral:rRNA from 1 species